rnacentral:lncRNA from 1 species
AGGAACGAGCCUCCGCGCAGCUGCAAUUUGGUUGGGGUGACUUCGAGCAGCGCGCGGUUGGAGGGACGUCGCCUUGGGCCACUGGCGGCUCGAGGCGACAACCCGCCCCCCCCGCCCCCCGCGAAGCCUUGACACUAGGCCCAAUGGAGGGGCGCGCGGGAGGUGGGUGGGGUCGGGAGACCGGGUAAGCCGCCGGCGGGUCGAGGAGGGGUGCGUGUCCCUUGUGGCAACUAGGAAACCGAGAACGAAGGCCAACGCUUCCUGGGCACGGGAGCUCGAAAGGCAUCUGGUUUCACUGCUGUUCUUUGGAAAACUCACAGUGCAAUGUGCUUCGUGACUGAACAGGCAUCUUGUGAUCCUGGGAAUGUCGAUUCAUUCAUUUGGCGAGUGUUUCUAUGGUCUUGGAGGGCCUUCUGUAUGCCAGACACCGUGCUAGGCGUUGGCGCUGCAGUCCUGACACACAUACACCUGAUUUCUGCCUUCACAGAACUUACAGUCUGAAGAGGGAAAGCGAGAAAACAAACAGGGAGACAUCAAGUUGAGAGACAUCAUUUUUGGAGUCACCAUCGUGUGCAUGGGACUUAAAGCCGUGAGGAUGAGAUCACCUAAGAAGGAGAGGGAGAAGCAGGCUCCCCACUGAGCAGGGACCCGACUCAGGGCUGGAUCCCAGGACCCUGGGACCAUGACUGGAACAGAAGGCAGAUGAUUAAUCGACUGAACUACCCAGGUUCCCCCAUAAGGCCUUUCCCACACUCUUCCCUCUGCCAUCUGACUCAGGAGACUGACCUGAGUGGACCAGACAGUGCUGAGCUGAUGGGCCCCAACAAAGAGGAAGGACAAGGAAACAAGAGAAUGAACUCCCCACCGGCUCCCUUAAAGCUGGCUGCACCUGACCUCCGGAGAUCACAGCCCCUCUCAAAGUGACCCUCUCCACAAAACAUUUUUGAAUCACCUUCUCUGGGUUUUGUUAACAAUAAUGCUUCCCUGUGUCCCUUCAGCCUACAGAGAGCAGCCCCAGGAUACUGCCCUGUCCUGUUUGCUUUUCUCCUCUUCUCCCCUUCCCACAUUUCUGAAAAUGGCCCAUUUAAUCAACCUAUUGGGACUAUUUUCAUUUGAGUGUGCCAUCUGUUUCCUGCUGGAUGUCUGACUCAUUCUGUAUACCCUCAACAAACACAACCCACACCAUCACAAAAUGAGAGUUGUAAGUAUUUGUUUUGUUGAUUCUGAUGGUUAAAUGGUCCAGAAAAUAUUGGCAUGGCUCACCUCUGGUACUUAACACUGCAUUGCUCAGAUACUUCACAAUCCCUGUCAGAAGGAGAAAGAAACUUCACUAGUGAACUUUGGUAGUAAUGUUCAUCUUCAAUGGCUUAUGAACUAAAAGAGUUAUAGUACUCUUUCCUUUAAAGUUCAGAUUUUUAUCCAUGACAGCUCUCAUGUUAGGUAAAUCUGUGCCAGAGCUACUUUAUUUUAAUUUGGGAGAGAGAGAAUCUCAAGCAGACUCCUGAUGAUGAGCACAGAGCCCGACUCAGGUCCCUGUUUCAUGACCCUGAGAUCAUGACCUGCGCCAAAACCAAGGGUCUGACACUUAACUGACUGAGCCACCCAGUUGCCCCACAGAGCUAUUUUAAUAAUAGCAUGAAUCAGAGCACAUGUCUUGCUCGAUCAGUAAAGCAAGCAACUUUUUUUUUUUAAGAGUUUAUUUAUUUAUUUAUAAAAGACACAGACAGAGAGGCAGAGAUACAGGCAGAGGGAGAAGCAGGCUCCAUGCAGGGAGCCCGAUGUGGGACUCAAUCCUGGGACUCCAGGAUCACACUCUGGGCCAAAGGCAGGUGCUAAACCGCUGAGCCACCCAGGUGUCCCAAGCAGGCAACUUUUGAUCUUGGACUUAUAAGUUCAAGCAGUGGAUGUAGAGACUACUUAAAAAUUAAAUCUUUAAAAAAUUUUUCUAUUAAGAAAAUAAUAAUAGCAUGAACAGAUGAUAUAAGAGCUAGUUGUAUAUUUUCCCUUGGUGGGUGUUAUUAACUCACAGGCUAUGGAUGAAAUAAGAACUCUGGUAAUUAAAACAUGUUUAAAAUAGCCAACAUUUGGGGAUGCCUCGGUAGCUCAGUGGUUGAGUGUCUGCCCUCAGCUCAGGGCAUGAUCCCAGGGUUCAGGAUCAGGUCCCACAUUGGCUCCUUGUCGGGAGCCUGCUUCUUUCUCCCUCUUUCUGUGUCUCUGCCUCUCUCUGUCUCUCAUGAAUAAUACUAAUAAUAAAAAUAGCCAACUUUUCUGAGCACUCAAGUUACUCCCUACCUAUAACACAAGCACAUGUAAAAACUGAAAUAAUUCCUCCAAGCCUUUGGGCACAUCAUUUGGCAAGUAACUUUCAGGCUGUGCUUAGUCUAAGUUUUCAUUUCCUACAGAAUAAGUGUUUUGAGCAUUAAGGAGAUAAAUGGAGGAGGUAAAUGGGUUGAGGCAGAAUUAUUAGGUUAAUUAUUUCCUUGUAGAAGGAAUGCUUCAAACUUGAUAAAAGGAAAUAGGUGAAGAUGACCAAGGGUUGACUCAAACCACUAUAUCAUUUUCUUGAUAGGCUUCUCCUUCUGACUUUCAGUUGGACAUGUUUUGCUCUUACAGAGGCGAGGGUGUGGAUCAGGAAGUAAAAAAAAAAAAAAAAAA